rnacentral:tRNA from 1 species
CCUCUCUUAGCCUAGUGGUCAGAGUAUUGGUGUGUGAAGCCAAAGGUCCCGGGUUCGACUCCCGACAGGGGU